rnacentral:rRNA from 1 species
UACGGAGGGUGCGAGCGUUGUCCGGAAUCACUGGGCGUAAAGGGCGCGUAGGCGGCCCGAUAAGUAGGGGGUGAAAUCCUGCGGCUUAACCGCAGGGCUGCCUUCUAAACUGUCGGGCUAGAGCACGGUAGAGGCAGAUGGAAUUCCCGGUGUAGCGGUGGAAUGCGUAGAGAUCGGGAAGAACAUCAGUGGCGAAGGCGGUUCUCUGGGACGGUACUGACGCUGAGACGCGAAAGCGUGGGGAGCGAACAGG